AGGAGGAACAGCCCCAGUGGCGGGGCAGCUCUGGAGCCCUGGAUUCAGCUCCCGCAGUAACUCCGGAGCUCUCCGUGUGCAGGGCCUGGAGGCUCUGGGGCGGG
rnacentral:pre_miRNA from 1 species